rnacentral:rRNA from 1 species
ACGGCUCAGUAACACGUGGAUAACCUACCCUUAGGACUGGGAUAACCCCGGGAAACUGGGGAUAAUACCGGAUGGAUCACUUAUGCUGGAAUGCUUGGUGGUCGAAAGGUGACGCCCUUGGAUGGGUCUGCGGCGGAUUAGGUUGACGCCGGUGUAACGUACCGGCGUGCCUGUAAUCCGUACGGGUUGUGGGAGCAAGAGCCCGGAGAUGGAUUCUGAGACACGAACCCAGGCCCUACGGGGCGCAGCAGGCGCGAAAACUCUACAAUGCAGGCAACUGCGAUAGGGGGACAUCGAGUGGCAUCCACCUUGGGUGCCUGUCCCACCGUCUAAAAAACGGUGGUUAGCAAGGGCCGGGCAAGACCGGUGCCAGCCGCCGCGGUAAUACCGGCGGCUCGAGUGGUGGCCGAUAUUAUUGAGUCUAAAGGGUCCGUAGCCGGCUUUGCAAGUCCCCUGGGAAAUCCAGCGGCUUAACCGUUGGGCUUUCAUGGGAUACUACAUUGCUUGGGACUGGGAGAGGUAGGAGGUACUCGGGGGGUAGGGGUGAAAUCCUGUAAUCCCCCGGGGACCACCGGUGGCGAAGGCGUCCUACCAGAACAGGUCCGACGGUGAGGGACGAAAGCUAGGGGCACGAACCGGAUUAGAUACCCGGGUAGUCCUAGCCGUAAACGAUGCCCGCUAGGUGUCACGGCGGUCGUGAAUCGCCGUGGUGCCGUAGGGAAGCCGCGAAGCGGGCCACUUGGGAAGUACGGCCGCAAGGCUGAAACUUAAAGGAAUUGGCGGGGGAGCAC